UACGUAGGGGGCGAGCGUUGUCCGGAUUUAUUGGGCGUAAAGAGCGUGUAGGCGGUUCGGUAAGUCUGUCGUGAAAUCCUGAGGCUCAACCUCGGGCGUGCGAUGGAUACUGCCGGGCUAGAGGGUGGUAGAGACGAGUGGAAUUCCCGGUGUAGCGGUGAAAUGCGCAGAUAUCGGGAGGAACACCAGUGGCGAAGGCGACUUUCUGGUCUGUAACUAACACUGAGGCGCGAAAGCGUGGGGAGCGAACAGG
rnacentral:rRNA from 1 species